rnacentral:snRNA from 1 species
UGCUCACUUUGAGAAAAUUGGAAUUGGAACGAUACAGAGAUUAGCAUGUCCCCUACACUAAGAGUACAUGCAAAACUUGUGAAGGGUUCCAUAUUUUA